CUCGUGUGUCCCACAUGGGAUGUUUGAUUCAGUUCUGUGAUACUACCUGGGGCCUCUUGCAUGGCUGCUUACAUCAGUUUCAAACGCUAAUGGUGAAGUUUGGCACACAUCUGUUUCACAUCUGGCUUCCCGAUGCAACGCCUGCCUUGUGCUGCCUGCUUUGAGAGUGGACGAAGCCCUCGCCACGGACAUAUCAAGAUGGUGUGGGUGUAUCUUGGGGCAAUGAGAAGGAUGAAACUGAAAAAAGGGCAGAAACCAUGGCCCUGGAACCCAGCAGCAUCUCCCUGUGGCCAAGGCAGCAUCUCCCAAGCCGGGGUGCCUGGAGUCCCGCUACAGCACAGUGAGAUGACUUCUUUCUGGGGAGCUCACUUCAGCCUGCAGGCAGUCCGGAAGCCGAGUACCAUGGGAUCAGAGAGGAUGUUUCCAUCGCCCAUUCCAUUCCAGGUCUGCCCCCCUCCCCCCCUCCAGGUGGUAUCCUGGACCACACAUGGGUUCUCGCCCCUGAGUCUCUGCUGGGGCAAGUAACCGGCUCUACGGAAGCUGCAGCCCUUGGUGGAUGUUCUAGGUGUUUCCUCUCCUGAGCCAGGUGGGGUGGGCCCAGCACUAUGCUGCUUUAGUCUUUGUUAAUUCACUGCCAUCCUGUCGAUACAUUCAAAUGAAAACCUCCCAUGUUGUCUGAUUUUCAGAGACCCCAUGUAUCAGAAGCAGCUGUGAAUCCUGAGAGUUGAAAAUUCCCUCCCAGACGAAUGAGGGGUGUUGAGGAAGUAGCCGCUUGUCAGCCAUCAUCAGUGACAGACACUUCACCCUGAACUACAGCAGGGCCCCGGGCAUGCCUGGGACCUCAGGGGGCCCAGGCCACUGUCAUCAGGGGAGAGUUGGCUCUGAGCUGACUCCAAGGAACCCCCACCCCACCUCGACCUUCUCUCCUCCUCUGAACCCCACCCCAUACCUGGCACACACACCUGUCCCCGCACCUGUCUCCAGCUCUCACGGGCAUCAACUUGACGUUAACUAUGAUGGCGCCGCUCUCGUUGAUGGCUCAAGUAGUUGGUUCCAAACACUGACUCUGAUCUGGCUGCUGUCCUGUGGCCAGCUCCAACUCUCCCCACCCCCAGGACCUUAGCCUAAUGGAGGAAGCCUAUGAAUUCCAGGUGACCUCAUUACUACCUGGGGAUGUUGGGCAAAGGAAUGCUCUUCUGUGCACCCAAUGUCUUCCUCCCUCAAAUGUACCUUGGUGCCUCAUCUCUCACUCACACUGAUGAGACGCUCUUUGCCAGGCUGCAGGACAAGAUGGAGCUUGGCACUACGGAGGGCAGACGGACCAGUGAGGAUAGAGGCUAUUGGCAGAAGGACAUAUCUCCAGCUACGUGGAGAUGGUGGGGAUGGUGGGGACAGAGAGGGCAGAGAUACUGGCUGGUGCCUGGAAGCAGGAUGCUCUCAGGUUGGCCCUGUCCCCACCUGCCUGCCUUGGGCUCUGUGUUUCCUAGGGCUAGUGCUUGCUUUGACCCCCCCCCCCCCCGCUUGGGGCCAGAUCCUUCAUCAGGGCUCCUUGGGCCAACAUAGUGCUCACACUGCCCUGUGAGCCAGCACCAUGCUCUCCAAACUCCAGCUGGUGCCCUUGGGGACAUCUUGUUGUGAGCCCAGGCACCAGCCCAGCCAGGGCUUCAAGGGGCCUGGACUGGUACCUCAUCCCUGCUGGGCCUCUGUCCCCCAGGCUCCAGGCUCCCCCAGGGGGAAUGGGACAGCCUUCACCUGCCAGCCAAUUCUUGCCCCACACUUAACCUUCCAGCCACAUCCUUCCCAUAAAACAAGGCCGCCAACACUAGGAACGUGUGGAAAAUCACACCAUCCCAGCUAAGUUGUUACAAUGAUGAUGUCACCCAGGCUCUGUCUGUGUGGCUGCUGGGGACACUGCCUUCAAGUCUUGGCCUGCAAUAUGCAGAAGCAGCUCAGCUGGGGGCAUGGCGGCCUCUGCACCCAGAAACCCAAGCCCCUGCAGGCACAGCCAAGCCUCAGCGAGGGCUCCCUGACCAACACUGUGCUCCCCGGGAUGGCCUUCGCCUUGGACUCCAAAGGCAUGGGUGGUGGCCCUGAGCUUGAGGCUUAUGUUUUGGUCAGCUGGCUCAGUAUUUUACCCAAAUUGGAAUUGGUUGCCCACAUUUAACUACUGGCAGCAUUUAAAAUCAAACCUGGGGGGCACCUGGGUAGCUCAGUCGGUUAAGCGUCUGACUCUUGAUUUCUGCUCAGGUCAUGAUCUCACAGUUCGUGAGUUCAAGCCCCUCAACGUGCUCUGUGCUGACAGCCUGGAGCCUGCUUGGGACUCUCUUUCUCUCUCUCUCUGCCCCUCCCCUGCUUGCUCUCUCUCUCUCUCUCUCUCAAAAUAAAGUAACUUAAAAAAAAAGAUCA
ensembl:lncRNA